UACAAGCAGGGGAGAAGCAGACAGAGAGUCCCAAGCAGGCUCUGCAUUGAAUGAGCCACCCAGGAGCCCCUAUUUAUUUAUUUUAAAAUGAGACCCAGAAUUUAAUUAAAGUUUCUGGGUUGAAUUAGUUGUCAUGCCUCUUUAGUUUUUGGUGGUUUUUUGGGUUUUUUUGUUUUUUCCCCAGAGAGUUCCCAAGUUCCCCUCUUCCAUCUCAGUUUUUGGCCUUAUGUGACUGAUAUUUUUGAAAAAUCUAGACUUCAGUCACUUUGCAUAGUGCACCUUAACUUGGAUUUGUUUGAUUAUUUCCUCAUGAAUACAUUCAGGGUAAAUGUUUUUGGGCAAGAAUCCUACAUUGGUGAUGUUGGGUACUUCUCAGUGCAUCGGAUCAAAAGGCACACUUGUCUGUUUGCUUCAUUAUUGAUGACCAGGCAACUAAGUACUUAAAGUAUUUAAUUAAAAAUUUUUUAAGUUUAUUUAUUUUGAGAGAGAGAGCACACACACGGGAAGGGCAGAGAGAAAGGAAGAGAGAGAAUCCCACACUGUCAUGGUGCAAAGCCUGAUGUGGUGCUCAAACUCAUGAAACCAUGAGAUCAUGACCUGAGCCCAAACCGAGAGCUGCUCUUUUAAUGUAUUUAAUUUUAAAACAGUGAGGCUGUAAGGCCACCUGGGUGGCUCAGUCAGUUAAGCGUCUGACUUUGGCCAUAGGUCAAGAUCUCACCAUUCCUGAGUUUGAGCCCCCAGUUGGUCUCUGUGUUGACAGCUCAGAGCCUGGAGCCUGUUUCCGAUUCUGUGUCUCCCUCUCUCUCUGUCUCUGCCCCUCUCCCACUCACACUCUGUGUCUCUCAAAAAUAAAUAAACAUUAAAAAUUUCUUAAGAAACAAUAACCUAGGCUGUGGCUAUUGUUACUUUUUACAGAUUUCAAUAUUUUGUAUAUAAGGACACUGAGACAUUACGUGUCUUGUCUAAGGUCACUUAGCAAUAGUAGAGCAGAGUUCUGAACUCAGUGGUUCCAAAAUCUGCAAGAUUAACCAUUUACUACAUUGUAAAGAGACUGAUAACCAACUUAAAGGCUCUUUUUAAAAAUUUUUUUAAAUGUUUCUUAUUUAUUUUUUGAGAGAGAGAGAAAGAGACAGAGAGCAAGCAGGGGAGAGACAGAGAGAGAAGGAGUCACAGAAUCCAAAGCAGGCUCCAGGCUCCAAGCUGUCAGCACAAGAGCCUGAUGCGGGGCUGGAACUCAUGCACGGAUCUUGAGAUCAUGACCUGAGCUGAAGUAGGAUGCUUCACACUGAACCACCCAGGCACCCCAGCAACUUAAAGAUUCUUAAUUCAUUACCUACCUUCAGGGUAUAUAAGGCUAGGAGAUUGGUCUUGAGGCCUGUAGUGAGAAUUUUUUUGGAGAGAGCUGUCUUUGUGCUUUGCCUUCUACCUCUCCCACCUCUAGGCAAAAGUGGUGGAGAAACAGAGUCACUUGGAGAGCUUGACUUGGAGUUUGAGGAAUAGAGGAGCUGGUACCCGACUCAUCCUGAAAAAGUCAAAAGGAGCCAUUAAAGAGCAUAGUGAAAAGUAGAGGAGUUGGAAGGAGUAGAGAAAAUGAGUGACCGUGUCCUCCUUCGUCACUGCAGGCAUUAUAAACUGGAUCGGGCUCAAGCCAAAGAAGAACUGACUCACAAAACUUAAAUGGGAGGGUUGGCCUGAUUUGUCACUGAAGCUUUAAUGACACUUCAGGAACUCAUCGGACAGAUCUAUACUUAUGAAAAGUUCUCACAGUUUCAUCUUUGGACAGGAUCAGUAAGCUCUGCACUGAAUUUAGUGCAGUGAUAACUGAAAAUACACCCAGUGAGUGCUUGGAUUGAGAAAGCAGGUUCAUUUUGUGACCCAAACCACCAGAAACUAAACUUACGUAAUUAUCAAACUAUCUUUGAAGAAAUCUCAGUAUUUUCAUUUUUUUACAAUUUUUUUCAAUGUUUA